rnacentral:piRNA from 4 species
UGCUAAUAACGCCAAGGUCGCGGGU